rnacentral:rRNA from 1 species
UACGGAGGGUGCAAGCGUUAUCCGGAUUCACUGGGUUUAAAGGGUGCGUAGGCGGUCAGGUAAGUCAGUGGUGAAAUCUCUGGGCUUAACUCAGAAACUGCCGUUGAUACUAUUUGUCUUGAAUAUUCUGGAGGUAAGCGGAAUAUGUCAUGUAGCGGUGAAAUGCUUAGAUAUGACAUAGAACACCGAUAGCGAAGGCAGCUUACUACAGAAUGAUUGACGCUGAGGCACGAAAGCGUGGGGAGCAAACAGG